rnacentral:tRNA from 1 species
GCCCAGAUACGCCAAUCGGAAGAGCGGCUCGGUUUAAACCCGAGCGAUUGUGAGUUCGAAUCUCACUCUGGGUA